rnacentral:rRNA from 1 species
AGAGUUUGAUCGUGGCUCAGAACGAACGCUGGUGGUAUGCCUAAUACAUGCAAGUCGAACGAGAAAGUCCUUCGGGGCGAGUACAGUGGCGCACGGGUGAGUAACGCGUAGAUGAUAUGCCUUUUAGUGGGGGACAACAGUUGGAAACGACUGCUAAUACCGCAUAAGCUUAGUGACAUUGAAAAAACUAAGGAAAGGGGGCUUCGGCUCUCGCUAAGAGAUUGGUCUGCGUGACAUUAGCUUGUUGGUGGGGUAAUGGCCUACCAAGGCAACGAUGUCUAGCUGGUCUGAGAGGAUGAUCAGUCACACUGGAACUGAGACGCGGUCCAGACUCCUACGGGAGGCAGCAGUAGGGAAUAUUGCACAAUGGGGGAAACCCUGAUGCAGCAAUACCACGUGAGUGAGGAAGGCCUUCGGGUUGUAAAACUCUGUCCUAUAGGAAGAACGGCUUUACGGUUAAUACCCGUAUUGUUUGACGGUACUAUAGAAGAAAGCACCGGCUAACUCCGUGCCAGCAGCCGCGGUAAUACGGAGGGUGCAAGCGUUGUUCGGAUUUAUUGGGCGUAAAGCGCGCGCAGGCGGACUAGCAAGUCAGAUGUGAAAUCUCGGGGCUCAA